UAACAAGGUCUCCGUUGGUGAACCAGCGGAGGGAUCAUUACUGAGUUUACGCUCUAUAACCCUUUGUGAACAUACCUAUAACUGUUGCUUCGGCGGGUAGGGUCUCCGCGACCCUCCCGGCCUCCCGCCUCCGGGCGGGUCGGCGCCCGCCGGAGGAUAACCAAACUCUGAUUUAACGACGUUUCUUCUGAGUGGUACAAGCAAAUAAUCAAAACUUUUAACAACGGAUCUCUUGGUUCUGGCAUCGAUGAAGAACGCAGCGAAAUGCGAUAAGUAAUGUGAAUUGCAGAAUUCAGUGAAUCAUCGAAUCUUUGAACGCACAUUGCGCCCGCCAGCAUUCUGGCGGGCAUGCCUGUUCGAGCGUCAUUUCAACCCUCAAGCUCUGCUUGGUGUUGGGGCCCUACAGCUGAUGUAGGCCCUCAAAGGUAGUGGCGGACCCUCCCGGAGCCUCCUUUGCGUAGUAACUUUACGUCUCGCACUGGGAUCCGGAGGGACUCUUGCCGUAAAACCCCCCAAUUUUCCAAAGGUUGACCUCGGAUCAGGUAGGAAUACCCGCUGAACUUAAGCAUAUCA
rnacentral:rRNA from 1 species